rnacentral:rRNA from 1 species
UACGUAGGUGGCGAGCGUUGUCCGGAAUCACUGGGCGUAAAGCGCGCGCAGGCGGUUUGGUAAGUUGGAUGUGAAAUCUCCAGGCUCAACUUGGAGGGGUCAUUCGAUACUGCCAUGACUAGAGUUCGGUAGGGGAGUGUGGAAUUCCUGGUGGAGCGGUGAAAUGCGCAGAUAUCAGGAGGAACACCCGUAGCGAAGGCGGCACUCUGGGCCGGAACUGACGCUGAGGAGCGAAAGCGUGGGGAGCGAACAGG